CUGUUAGAAAAGAUGCCUUGUGAGGGAAUAAUUCCCAUUCUGUUUUCAGCAGCACAUGGCACCCAAAAAGGGCUAUAUAUAUAGACCUUUCUGUCACUCUAAAGGCAGAUUUUCAGACCCUAAAAAACACUCAAAGUUUCUGCAUCAUUUUGGCUGAAAAAUUGGUUGGAAUUGCUCUUUGGUUUUCACAGUUAGAAGAACUUAAAAGUUUCAAAGGACCUCUGGUUUGCUGGGUAAAAAGAGGGUUUAAAAGGGGGCUGAAUCCUGCUAUUUAAUUUGUUGCUUGGCUCCUGUUUUGCUAUUGCUGAAUCCUCACUCUCCUUUGCCUUAUUUUGAAAUACAGGUAUCUCUUGGACUUUAAAUGACAUGUGAAUUGCAAGCUUGAAAUGUAUAAUCAAAUGUGGAGAUUGAAUGAUAUAUUGCAGCCGGAUGAAAGUUGUUCAGAUGUUUUCUGUUAAAUUCAUUUAGUUCUUGUAGUAGUGUUAGCCUUAUUUUAUCGUUUAUUUUCACUUCUUUUCUUUUCACUGUUUUCUUUAUCUAUAUUCUGUCCUUAGAUCUAUUUUAGGAUCUCAGAUCUAGUAUGAUGAUUUGUGAUGUGGCUAAGGAUCUUCAUGCUUGUGUAGUAGUUUAGUUUUUUUUUUUUUGUGAUGUUGAAAAGCCAUGGUGAUGAGUGUUAUUCCUUGUGUCCAGUUUUCAUCUUUUCAUUUAAAUGGUUUAAAAAUGCUAAGUCAAGGUCUGUUAUUAGCUUAGAAUCAUGUCUUUCAUGAAAAGGGUUGUAUGGCUAGUGUUAUGUGAUUAGUUAGGAAUUUCAGUUAAUGUUGUAUUGAUACUGCCUAUUAGUUAGUAUUUGUAAUAUGUAGUUGAGCAUCUUUGAUUCCCAGAAUUUGUGUAAAGGUUUUUUAGUUGUAGUCAUAAGGCCAACCAGUUCUAGAAAUGAAUUGGGUCAGGAGUAGGCCAAGAAGGAUGUCCUUGUCAGAAUCACCCUUGGUGUGGUUUUGGACCUUUUGUAUUGCACGCUAGGCUCAAUUUUAGGGCCCAAACCGUGCCAGUAUUUGUAUUUCUUUAAAUUUUACAAUGUUCAUGACCAAACAGCUCAUUGGGCCUGGCACUUAUCGGCCCACUUGGGGCCGAGCAACCUCCUGCCCUGAUUUCGUUCUUGGGCUCGGUCUGGAGCUUAGUUUUCGUAAAAUAGUUAUGGGCCUAAGGCCAGCAUUAAUUCCAACAUAGAUUAAAAUCUGAACUUUUUUAGGCUAUUUUAGUUAAAUAUAGUUCUUAAAAAGUGAGUUGAGGUGUGUCAUCCAUAAUUAGAUCACUCAUGGCCCUCACGAAUAUUAUAGCUUAGCUAUUUAAAAUGAAUAUUCGUAGAAAAGCCUUUAGGCGCGUUUAAAAUAUUAUUGUGAUUGUGAACACGUUCGCGUGACAUAAUUACGAUUCUAAAAACCAAUUCGGAGUAUGCGUUCGCGCAACUUCGAUCAAACUUUCUUAAUAAUAAAAUUAUUUUAAUAGGCCAUUAAAUUAAAUUUAGUUUAUAUAGUCCGAGGUGUGUCAUCCAUAAUUUAAUCAUUCAUGGGCCCCGUAUAAAUUCUAUGAUUUAGAUAUUAAAAAUGAUAUUCGUAGUCUGCUUUAGGCACGUUUAAUAUACCAUCGUGGUUGCGUACACGUCGCGUGACAUAAUUACGAUUCUAAAAACAAAACCGGGGUAUGCG
rnacentral:lncRNA from 1 species